CCAAUAGCGUAUAUUAAAGUUGUUGCAGUUAAAAAGCUCGUAGUUGAAUUUCGGGAUUGACACAUCGGUCGUGCCUUAAGGGGUAUGAACUGGUGUAGUCAAUUUCUCACCUUCUGGAGAACCGCGAUGCCCUUAAUUGGGUGUCGCGGGGAACCAGGACCUUUACUUUGAAAAAAUUAGAGUGUUUAAAGCAGGCAUUUUGCUUGAAUACAUUAGCAUGGAAUAAUAAAAUAGGACGGCAUGAUUCUAUUUUGUUGGUUUCUAGGAUCACCGUAAUGAUUAAUAGGGAUAGUUGGGGGCAUUAGUAUUCAAUUGUCAGAGGUGAAAUUCUUGGAUUUAUUGAAGACUAACUACUGCGAAAGCAUUUGCCAAGGAUGUUUUCAUUAAUCAAGAACGAAAGUUAGGGGAUCAAAGACGAUCAGAUACCGUCGUAGUCUUAACCAUAAACUAUGCCGACUAGGAAUCAGACGAUGUUAAUUUUUUAAUGACUCGUUUGGCACCUUACG
rnacentral:rRNA from 1 species